CCCUUAGAUGUUCUGGGCCGCACGCGCGCUACACUGAUACAGGCAGCAAGUUAUAUUUCCCCUUGGCUGAGAGGCCUGGGUAAUCUUGUGAAAUUGUAUCGUGAUGGGGAUAGGUCACUGUAAUCGUUGACCUUUAACGAGGAAUUCCUAGUACGCGCAAGUCAUCAGCUUGCAUGGAUUACGUCCCUGCCCUUUGUACACACCGCCCGUCGCUACUACCGAUUGAACGGUUUAGUGAGGGCCUCGGAUUGGUCUCGGCCCGCUCUUUACCGGGCGGCGCCGUUGGUCGAGAAGACGCUCGAACUUGAUCGUUUAGAGGAAGUAAAAGUCGUAACA
rnacentral:rRNA from 1 species